rnacentral:rRNA from 1 species
CCAAUAGCGUAUAUUAAAGUUGUUGCAGUUAAAAAGCUCGUAGUUGAAUUUCGGGAUUAGUAAGUUGGUCGUGCCUCUGGUAUGUACUGGCUUUACUGGUUCCUCCUUCUUGAAGAACCGUAAUGUCAUUAAUUUGGUGUUGCAGGGAAACAGGACUGUUACUUUGAAAAAAUUAGAGUGUUUAAAGCAGGCUAACGCCUGAAUACAUUAGCAUGGAAUAAUGAAAUAGGACGUUUGAUCCUAUUUUGUUGGUUUCUAGGAUUGACGUAAUGAUUAAUAGGGAUAGUUGGGGGCAUUAGUAUUCAAUUGUCAGAGGUGAAAUUCUUGGAUUUAUUGAAGACUAACUACUGCGAAAGCAUUUGCCAAGGAUGUUUUCAUUAAUCAAGAACGAAAGUUAGGGGAUCGAAGACGAUCAGAUACCGUCGUAGUCUUAACCAUAAACUAUGCCGACUAGGGAUCGGAUGAUGUUAAUUUUUUAAUGACUCAUUCGGCGCCUUACG